GGAAUAUAGCCGCAUUUCCAGCGUCCGUGCCUCUGUUCUGUGAUGGCUCAUGCCUGUGUCUAAAGGUCUUCAGCAGACUCAGGCAGGUGCAGGUUCAGACAGGCCCUGAGCACAGCCUGUCACCAUCCUCCAUCUUCCCUGCUGUCUUCUGUGUCCCCUGAGCUUCCGUGAGGGUUUGUCUUUCCUCUGUGGCUCUUUAAACCACUUCCUGUCCUUAGGAGAAUCUCCCCCGUGGGUGGGGAAGCCCUAAAUCAGGGCAGGACUUUGGGCUCUGAUCAGCAGACUACACUUCUUAGCACCACCAGCCUCCAGCAAGAACCUGAGGAAAUCACGGAACUUCUCGAGUCUCCUCGUCUGUAAAUGGAAACGACGUCUGCUCUGUGUAACUGAGAAAAUAGAUGCGAAGGUGUCAAACAAAGGCCUCACAUAAAGACAGGGCCUCUCAACACGUGUCACUUUCGACAGCUCUUUAGCACCAACAAGUCAGGGCGAUUGUUAAUGACUCAGCCUCUCUUCUUGGACUCUAAAUUAAUCUUCAGGGAUGCAGUGGGACAAGCAACCCCGUGGGCCAGAGCUCCCCUG
rnacentral:lncRNA from 1 species